UCUUCGAUCUCUGAGUGUUUGCCAAAACACACGAUACUUGCCAACUGAAGGAGAAGGCUUGGAUCUGAAGAUGCAGUUCAGAUUGAUUUUAACUGCUCUUGUCUGCUUCACUGCAUGGAUGAACUUAGUCCAAGCAGCUGCUGUGUUUGUAAAUAACUGUCGCUGUGUGCAUUGGUCCAUGACUCAAGUUAAUUUUACUCAAAUUAAGAAAUACACCAUUCAGAUGGAAGGCCGAUGUUCCAUCAAUGCAGUAGUGUUUCAGACAGUAAAUGAAAAUAUUAUUUGCAAAGACCCCAACAGCGACUGGGCCAAGCAUGUCAUUCGGAAGCUGGAGGCAAAGACAACAUCUUCACCAGAGAAAAGACGUCAUAACAAAAGAUCAACCCUGGGCAGUACACCAUUGACAUCCACAAAACUGUGUGGGGCUAUCACAAAACCACGCAACCCCCAAAAAGGAAAGAAAAUGCAGCGAGGCUAGAAAUGUCAUCCAAGAGCAAAACCACAAUGUAAUCUAAGUGACUCCUAUCAGCCAAUUAUAUUCUAAUAAUUCAGACAGGUAUUAUUUUAAUGCGGUGCUUCUCAACCUUUUCAAAUCAUGACACAUUUAAUUCAGUGACUCAUGCGAGCAAAUCUUUGAUGCUCAGAAAACAUUAAAAACAAUGCCACUUCAAAUUAAACCAGGAAAGAAUAUGUACUGUGAAGCACAAAACAUUUUAACUUCAAUAUCUGAUAUCCUGCAAACUGGUUAAGCAACUUCUACUAGGUGUCCCAGCGACUGGGUUGAGAGCAAAGCAAGAUGAUCGGGGAAACAUACAAUAUACUGUAGAGCUGCAAUAUGUUCUAAUAAAGCUUGGUUGAGCUUAUGAUGUAGAUGUGUUUAUCUGUCAAGCAUAAAUUGUAUCAUUAAAAAACGUUUAAUUCAACAUGAAA